UACGGGGGGGGUAAGCGUUGUUCGGAAUUACUGGGCGUAAAGGGCUCGUAGGCGGCCAACUAAGUCAGACGUGAAAUCCCUCAGCUUAACUGGGGAACUGCGUCUGAUACUGGAUGGCUUGGAUUUGGGAGAGGGAUGCGGAAUUCCAGGUGUAGCGGUGAAAUGCGUAGAUAUCUGGAGGAACACCGGUGGCGAAGGCGGCAUCCUGGACCGGCAUUGACGCUGAGGCGCGAAAGCCAGGGGAGCAAACGGG
rnacentral:rRNA from 1 species